GCUAAUACCGCAUAACAUAUACUGAUGGCAUCGUUGGUAUAUCAAAGAUUUAUCGCCGAAGGAUGGGCUCGCGUCUGAUUAGCUAGUUGGUGAGGUAACGGCUCACCAAGGCUGCGAUCAGUAGCCGAGUUGAGAGACUGAACGGCCACAUUGGGACUGAGAUACGGCCCAGACUCCUACGGGAGGCAGCAGUGGGGAAUAUUGGGCAAUGGGCGCAAGCCUGACCCAGCAACGCCGCGUGAAGGAAGAAGGCUUUCGGGUUGUAAACUUCUUUUGACAGGGACGAAACAAAUGACGGUACCUGUAGAAUAAGCUCCGGCUAAAUACGUGC
rnacentral:rRNA from 1 species